ACGGGAGGCAGCAGUGGGGAAUAUUGCACGAUGGGGGAAACCCUGAUGCAGCGACGCCGCGUGAGUGAAGAAGUAUUUCGGUAUGUAAAGCUCUAUCAGCAGGAAAGAAAAUGACGGUACCUGACUAAGAAGCCCCGGCUAACUACGUGCCAGCAGCCGCGGUAAUACGUAGGGGGCAAGCGUUAUCCGGAUUUACUGGGUGUAAAGGGAGCGUAGACGGCUUUGCAAGUCUGAAGUGAAAGCCCGGGGCUCACCCCCGGAACUGCUUUGGAAACUGUAGAGCUGGAGUGCAGGAGAGGUAAGUGGAAUUCCUAGUGUAGCGGUGAAAUGCGUAGAUAUUAGGAGGAACACCAGUGGCGAAGGCGGCUUACUGGACUGUAACUGACGUUGAGGCUCGAAGGCGUGGGGAGCAAACAGGAUUAGAUACCCUGGUU
rnacentral:rRNA from 1 species